rnacentral:tRNA from 1 species
GUCCAAGUAAUUUAACCAAAAUACUGGCCUUGUAAAUCAGCUAUGAAGGUACAACCCCUUCCUAGGACA